rnacentral:rRNA from 1 species
AUUGAACGCUGGCGGCAGGCCUAACACAUGCAAGUCGAACGGAUCGCCGGACGGGUGAGUAAUGCCUAGGAAUCUGCCUGGUCGUGGGGGAUAACGUCCGGUAACGGGAGCUAAUACCGCAUACUCUCAGCUGAGCCUAGGUCGGAUUCGCUAGUUGGUGGGGUAAAGGCCUACCAAGGCGACGAUCCGUACCUGGUCUGAGAGGAUGAGCAGCCACACUGGAACUGAGACACGGUCCAGACUCCUACGGGAGGCAGCAGUGGGGAAUAUUGGACAAUGGGCGAAAGCCUGAUGCAGCCAUGCCGCGUGUGUGAAGAAGGUCUUCGGAUUGUAAAGCACUUUAAGCUGGGAGGCGUUACCAACAGAAGAAGCACCGGCUAACUCCGUGCCAGCAGCCGCGGUAAUAC